rnacentral:sRNA from 1 species
CAACAACUGAAAGGAGGUGAUCCAGUGUCUCAUUGUCAAACCCCGCGUGUGGCGGUGGACCUGAUCUGGAACCGUACUUCUUUCGAGGUGCGCGCCUCCUGACCGGGGUCGAGUUUCGCUCACACCGCACUCGCGGUUAAGGCAAUGGAAGGGCCGUCCCAAGGGGCGGCCCU